rnacentral:rRNA from 1 species
GGUCACUGCUAUUGGGAUUCGACUAAGCCAUGCGAGUCGAGAGGGUUCGGCCCUCGGCUGACGGCUCAGUAACACGUGGAUAAUCUGCCCUUAGGUGGAGGAUACCCUCGGGAAACUGAGAAUAAUACUCCAUAGGUCUAGGAUGCUGGAAUGCAUCUAGACUGAAAACUCCGGUGCCUAAGGAUGAGUCUGCGGACUAUCAGGUUGUAGUCAGGGUAAAGACCUGACUAGCCUACGACGGAUACGGGUUGUGAGAGCAAUAACCCGGAGAUGAUAUCUGAGACACGAUAUCAGGCCCUACGGGGCGCAGCAGGCGCGAAAACUUGACACUGUGCGAAAGCACGAUGAGGGAAUCCCAAGUGCCAGCUCGUAAGAGUUGGCUGUUUUUCUGUCUAAAACACAGAGAGAGUAAGAGCUGGGUAAGACGGGUGCCAGCCGCCGCGGUAAUACCUGCAGCUCAAGUGGUGACCGUUAUUAUUGGGCCUAAAACGUUCGUAGCCGGUUUAGUAAAUGCCUGGGUAAAUCGUGUAGCUUAACUAUACGAAUUCCGGGUAGACUGCUAAGCUUGAGACCGGGAGAGGCUAGAGGUACUCCUGGGGUAGAGGUGAAAUUCUGUAAUCCUGGGGGGACCACCAGUGGCGAAGGCGUCUAGCUAGAACGGGUCUGACGGUGAGGGACGAAGCCCUGGGGCGCAAACCGGAUUAGAUACCCGGGUAGUCCAGGGUGUAAACGCUGCUUGCUUGAUGUUAGUCGGGCUCCGAGCCCGAUUAGUGUCGGAGAGAAGUUGUUAAGCAAGCUGCCUGGGAAGUACGGUCGCAAGACUGAAACUUAA